UACAGGGGGGGCAAGCGUUGUUCGGAAUUACUGGGCGUAAAGGGCUCGUAGGCGGCCAACUAAGUCACACGUGAAAUCCCCAGGCUUAACCUGGGAACUGCGUGUGAUACUGGAUGGCUUGAAUUCGGGAGAGGGAUGCAGAAUUCCAGGUGUAGCGGUGAAAUGCGUGGAUAUCUGGAGGAAUACCGGUGGCGAAGGCGGCAUCCUGGACCGACAUUGACGCUGAGGAGCGAAAGCUAGGGGAGCAAACGGG
rnacentral:rRNA from 1 species